rnacentral:rRNA from 1 species
UACGGGGGGGGCAAGCGUUGUUCGGAAUUACUGGGCGUAAAGGGCUCGUAGGCGGCCAACUAAGUCGGACGUGAAAUCCCCAGGCUCAACCUGGGAACUGCGUCCGAUACUGGAUGGCUUGAGUUUGGGAGAGGGAUGCGGAAUUCCAGGUGUAGCGGUGAAAUGCGUAGAUAUCUGGAGGAACACCGGUGGCGAAGGCGGCAUCCUGGACCAACACUGACACUGAGGAGCGAAAGCCAGGGGAGCAAACGGG